GGCGGCGCGCGGCGGCUUCGGCAGUGCGCGACGUUGACUCACGCGCCCGCUGUCUGCCCGUUGUUUGGCAGUGGCGGCGCGAGCGAGGCGCGCGCCCUCGCCCCGACCUUGCCUCGACACGGAUUUAUUGAUGCGUCACCGCGAGACGCGACGCGACUUACGUGCCGAGUUACGUGCGAGUUUGUACAGCGGAACCGAUUCAAAUGCUAUUAUUACGACGUUGACAAUGGACGCCGCAAUUUGUGAGAUAAUUCAUAUAAUGACAGACGACGAUUGUCUUGUUUAAAUUGACGUGACCCAGUACGGGAUGUUGUCAUACAUACAAUUAUUUUAUAAUACAGUUUCAUAAAAAGAUUUCUGAAAUAAAUUAUGGUGUGACAGGUUUAUGGACAGCUACAAAUGACUUUAUAGUCUAGAAACAACGAUGUUAUUUAUUAAUUCAAUGCAAUAUGCUAAUAAGCAAUUAUUAAGUCAGAUGCAGGUUAUUAUUAUUUAUAUCUAUUAACUGUCAUAGAAGUUGACAUUAAAAUAACGAAUUUAAAACAAAACCACAACAUUAAAAUAUUUUGGAGGUUUUUAAUUCGUAUGUAAACACUUAUCACAUGAGUUGAAGAGGUAUGUUAGUAAUAUGUAUAACUAACCUAAUGGUAACAUAUUUUUCUGGUAGGACGUAAGUGCCCUGAAAAUGUCAUUUUUAGAACUAAAUUAAAAUUAAGAAUGACUAUGUCAAGUA